rnacentral:lncRNA from 1 species
CGACUGCGAAGUCGCGGAAAGUCAACUGUGUUGCCUUGAAAGUCGACAACGAACGAGCUGCUCCUCGUAAGCUCGUCAGAUCUGAUCAACGAACGAAGACCACUUCGAUUUCUCUACUUCGAAUGGAAGCGAGUUGAGGCACUGAACGAGUUCGUCACAUCAUUCUAUACUUGUCGGGAAGAAAGGGACAUCAGCAACAGGAUCGGGCAAAUUGUUGCUCGCAUCGUUUUUCAUACACGUGUCACGGCGGUCCGACGAGUAUUCAGCCUUUUGUGUACACGAUGGAGUCAAGCGGCAGCUUUCGGUUAUCACAGUGGAAGCAGUGCCUUGCAGUGUUUGCAUCAUCUCUAAUGUUCAAUCCAACCACCGCCGCUGUUUGGUAUUACCUGAAGCCCACAGAAAGAUAUUUCGAGUUCAUUUACCUCGUGCCUAGUGUCAUCUUAGUCACAGGCGGUGCGAUUCUCGCAGCAGUCUGCUCUGAUUUUUGUGGACGUAAGAAAACUAUGUUAGCGUCAUCAUUUUUCGCUGUACUUGAAAUUGUUGCA